rnacentral:rRNA from 1 species
UGGGAGGAGGGGACGGGAGGCGCGGGAAUGCGUGGGGGGACAGGAUUGGUCGGAAAUGGUGGGCGGAAAGGGGUCGUAGGGGGCCAACGAAGCCAGGGUGGAAAUCCCCAGGCUUAACCGGGGGAGGGCGUCAGAUACUGGAUGGCGUCAGUGUGGGAGAGGGAAGCGGAAGUCCGGGUGUAGCGGUGAAAUGCGUAGAUAUCUGGAGGAACACCGGUGGCGAAGGCGGCAUCCUGGACCAUAACUGACGCUGAAUAGCGAAAGCCAGGGGAGCAAACGGGAUUAGAUACCCCGGUAGUC